GGGGGUCUCCAGUCAUGACUGUUAAUAGCUUCUGAUGAAUAUGUUGUGCCUCUAUGGGGUUAUGGGUAUCUUCAACAUAGUAGGGAGCACCAUUCUCAACAUGGUGGAGCAAUUUCCAACUGUACUCUGUCCUGGGCUGCCUUUCUGUCCUCCUGUUCUUACAGGGCAGUGUCUCCGUGGCUGGCUGUGUUUGACACGUGGGUGGGUUUGAGCCUCUGAUGUAGCCAGGGUUCUCCAGCGCACAGUGUGUUUUGGUAGUCUCACAGACGGUGUUGGGCAACAAAGACAGGAGAAAAGACGCAGCUGCGUGGGCAGGGGGCUUAUCACUGGACACUUGGUUGCAGAGCUCCUCAAAGGCGGUUUUUUUGAGCCUGGUGACGGGUGGGACUGAGGUGAUAUAGAACAUUCUAAGGAGAUUAAGCAGAGAAAAUUUAAUUAUUCUAAAGAAGCCCUCAUCCCAGUUUGAAACUUUUAACAGGGCCAUGUCCAGGCAAGAAAGAUUCUGAUGAACUCUCACAAUAAUAGAGACACACAGCCCCUGACUUCCAACUGGGCCUCCAGACUCACCUGCCUUCAUAAAUUUUCCCCAAACUCUUCUAUAAGGCAGGACGUGACCAGAUUGAUAAUCACACACAGAGGAGGUGUACACAAAGUUCCUGUUGGGUAGUAUGCCAUAAAUUGCCAAUAAAUGUUCUGGGAGAAACAGAUCGACCAGGAGCUCAUCUUGUUGUAAAGGAACACUUUUUUUAUUUAUUCUAAAUACAUCCAUUUCUCUCUAAUUUUCUUGGCAAUGGUGUCAUACUUUUUAUUUCUGGUGCAUUUAAAUAGCAUGUGGCCAUAUAUGGUUUUGUUGGCAUAGAUUGACAUAAUAAUAUGGACAAACAUGCUACAAAGUAUGGAAUAGCCUUGGCUAUUACAAUUAAUGAUGUUGGCGCACAUUGGAAAGGUACACUCAAUUUUCUUCUUGAUGUGCUCAUUUAGGGAGUCUCCAGCGAGGAUCUUAUCUUUAAUUUCAGCAAUAUCAUCCAAUUUAUUAAUAAUAUCUACAAUGUCACCAAACAGUGCCCGCAGAAUGCAGUCUGUAUUGUCCUCUGGGUGAAUGUCCACGUCCAGACACGCUGCCCCACACAUGGGUGAUUCCCUGACAUUACACUGGAUAUACUUUCCAGUGACUGUGCACACAAUUCCCUCUCGAUCCACCAGAGGAUCACAGUUGAGAGAACCAUUACACAAGUGAUAAUCAUCACAAUUUAGACACUGGUACAAAUUUUGCACGUUAUAGGCCUCUGUUAAAGGGUUAGAAAGAGGCCGCAUCAUACACUUGUCUUGGCCGCGCUUGCAUCUUUUAUACAUUCUGUUCCUACCAAGUCUAGCAGGAGACAGAUAUUUUCAAUACCUUGGGUGGUUGACCUGACAAGUUCCAAAUCAGAAGUGGUUUUUGACACCUCAGCAAUGAGAGCAUGUAAUGGUCUGUUAAAAAAAUUCACCACAUCCAGGAGAUCCUGAUCAGUAACCAGAUUCUUUGAUUUAUUCACAGAGCAUCCGGGGGCAGACAUUUAAUCUACUGUUUGUUGAUGAAGCAAAUUUCAUAAAGAAGGAAGCACUUCCAGCAAUCUUGGGGUUUAUGUUACAGAAGGAUGCCAAGAUCUUUUUUAUCUCCUCUGUAAAUUCAGGAGAGAAGACAACAAGUUUUUUGUAUAACCUCAAAGAUGCCAAUGAGAAGAUGGUGAACGUUGUCAGCUAUGUCUGUAGCGAACAUAUGGAAGACUUCAACAAACAGAGCGCAAUCACUGCCUGCCCUUGCUAUCGCCUGUAUGUUCCAGAAUUUAUCACCAUCAAUGAUAAUAUAAAGUGUACCACCAAUUUACUGCUAGAGGGAUCAUUUGCCACAGAAUUAAUGGGCAAUAUGCAAUCACACACGGAAGUCUCUGGGAACAGUAUGAUACACGAGUCCAGUCUGACCCGGCUAGACUUUUAUAGGUGUGACACUGCGGGCCAGGGGGCCCCAACUACAGAAAAUACACUUUUUGUGUAUAUUGACCCCGCCUAUGGAAACAACGUCCACGCCUCUGGAACUGGUAUAGUUGCCAUGAGUCACUGUAAACACACUAAAAAGUGUAUUAUCUUAGGGUUGGAACAUUUCUUCCUGAACAACCUCACUGGAACUGCUGCUCACAACAUAGCCUCAUGUGCCACUGCUCUGUUGGAGGGAAUAUUGUUUCAACACCCCUGGAUUCAAGAAAUCAGGUGUAUAAUAGAGGGAAAUAGCAAUCAAGACUCAGCUGUAGCCAUAGCAACUUUUAUUUCCCACAACAUUAAACUACCAACCCUGUUUGCCUCCUACAGAGACAAGACUGGAAUGCAAUGGCCUAUUUAUAUGUUGAGUGGAGACAAGACACUGGCCUUCCAAAACUUUAUCUCUUCAUUGAACCAGGGAUUGCUCUGUGCCAGCCAAACCGUGGUAUCUAACACUGUCCUGCUGUCUAGUGACCCAAUCUCCUAUCUGAUUGAACAGAUAAAAAAUACCAAAUGUAUAUACCACAAGAACAAAACCAUAACCUUCCAAUCCAAAACACAUACAAUGUCUGAUGAUGUUCUAAUUGCGUGUGUUAUGACCUGUUACGUGAUGACAACAAACAAGAUAUCAUACAUCUCUUUUUCAAUAAAAUAAUCUUUAUUUAG
rnacentral:tmRNA from 1 species